rnacentral:rRNA from 1 species
AAAUUGUUGAAAGGGAAGCGCUUGUGACCAGACUUGCGCCGGACAGCUCAUCAGGGGUUCUCCCCUGUGCACUCUGCCCGGCUCAGGCCAGCAUCGGUUCUCGUGGGAGGAUAAGAACGGUAGGAACGUGGCCCCCCUCCGGGGGGGUGUUAUAGCCUGCCGUACGAUACUCCCGUGGGGACCGAGGUUCGCGCUCCGCAAGGAUGCUGGCGUAAUGGUCAUCAGCGACCCGUCUUGAAACACGGACCAAGGAGUCGUCCAUUAGAGCGAGCGUUUGGGUGUAAAACCCGCACGCGUAAUGAAAGUGAACGCAGGUGAGAGCUUCGGCGCAUCAUCGACCGAUCCUGAUGUCUUCGGAUGGAUUUGAGUAAGAGUUUUAACGGACGGACCCGAAAGACAGUGAACUAUGCUUGUAUAGGGUGAAGCCAGAGGAAACUCUGGUGGAGGCUCGCAGCGGUUCUGACGUGCAAAUCGAU